rnacentral:rRNA from 1 species
AAGCUCUUUCGUCGGGGAAGAAAAUGACUGUACCCGAAUAAGAAGGUCCGGCUAACUUCGUGCCAGCAGCCGCGGUAAUACGAAGGGACCUAGCGUAGUUCGGAAUUACUGGGCUUAAAGAGUUCGUAGGUGGUUAAAAUAGUUGGUUGUGAAAUCCCGGAGCUUAACUCCGGAACUGCAAUCAAAACUUUUUAGCUAGAGUAUGAUAGAGGAAAGCAGAAUUUCUAGUGUAGAGGUGAAAUUCGUAGAUAUUAGAAAGAAUACCAAUUGCGAAGGCAGCUUUCUGGAUCUUUACUGACACUGAGGAACGAAAGCAUGGGUAGCGAAGAGGAUUAGAUACCCUCGUAGUCCAUGCCGUAAACGAUGUGUGUUAGACGUUGGAAAUUUAUUUUCAGUGUCGCAGCGAAAGCAGUAAACACACCGCCUGGGGAGUACGACCGCAAGGUUAAAACUCAAAUGAAUUGACGGGGACCCGCACAAGUAGUGGAGCAUGUGGUUUAAUUCGAAGAUACGCGCAGAACCUUACCAACACUUGACAUGUUCGUCGCGACUUUAAGAGAUUAAAGUUUUCGGUUCGGCCGGACGAAACACAGGUGCUGCAUGGCUGUCGUCAGCUCGUGUCGUGAGAUGUUGGGUUAAGUCCCGCAACGAGCGCAACCCUCACUUUUAGUUGCCAUCAUUUAGUUGGGCACUCUGAAAGAACUGCCGGUGAUAAGCUGGAGGAAGGUGGGGAUGACGUCAAGUCCUCAUGGCCCUUACGUGUUGGGCUACACACGUGCUACAAUGGCAUAUACAACAGGAAGCGAGAUGGCGACAUCAA